rnacentral:ribozyme from 1 species
AAUAUCACACACACAUACACACACGGUCACAAAGAGAGAGAGAAAGAGAGAGAGAGAAAGAGAAUCUGCUACAUACCUUCUUUCUCAUUUGUAGCAGUACGUUUUUGCAUAUCUUUUU